rnacentral:lncRNA from 1 species
AUUUAUUAGAAAUACACUAAGAGGGCCUUUAAAAAGAGAAUUGUAUGUAUUGGAUGGUAAACAAAUCUCCAGCAAAAUGAGGUAAGACUAAAACUUCCCUUGGAGACAGUUUGGCCAAUAGAUUCUGACAGGGUUUUUUGUAAUUUUUUUUUCCCUUUGUUAUUUGUAGAGAUCCUACAUUGAAAUUAUGCUCUGUCCUACAGGGACCCCUGGCUUGAGCAAGUGCAUGACAAUUCUUAGGAUGCCUGUGCUGAAAUGGUCCUUCUCUUAAUGGACCUUGAUGGAGUUUGGUUUCAUUUGUUCCAGAAUGGGAUUGCCCUUCUUGCAGUUGCUGCAGGUUCAUGAUCUGGACCCAACCCCAGGACUCGAGCAGGACUGAAGGACACAUGCAAGUGGUAAGAAGCUGGAUCAUCUUUCUUCAUCUGCUCACUGUCUUCACAGAAUUUGCAAGUGUGAAAAAGUAUUUCAUCCCUUUACAGGAUUAGGAUGAGGAUUUCCCUCUCCCUGAGGUGCUGCUGGCUGGUUCACUGCCUGCUGGAGGGUGUUUCCAAGACCUGACUUAACCUGAAGCAUGCACUUCCUCAGGAGGUCUGCAGCAGGGCUGGAGGACUGCCAACACUGCAUCCCUUCCCUCGUGUCACCUGCUGCCACAUGACUGCAGUGCUUGUGCUGUGCUCUCAGCUCCCUCACACUGAAAUGUUCCUCCUG